rnacentral:sRNA from 1 species
GCUGGCCUUGGUUGAUAGCACUGCUGGAGGUUUCAAUCCUAACUACAGCAAGAAUUUUUAUCGGAUGUACCAGGUUACAGGUUAUGGCGUAAAAGUUGGGGAGCGGUGAUGUCAUGUUGGAUGUUUUCCAGUACAUGCAAAACAAGGUGCGCCCACAUUUCCACUGUGUAUUCGCGGGAUGAUGCGCGCUUUACUUCAGGCGCGAUGGAGGUAAAAUGUAAAAAUACGAGGUGCUUGUGUAUAUGCGUAUGAAUGUUUACAUACAGCACGGCGCGUCAUGUAUCUCUUAUUCAUGAACGAACGACUGUAAAACAAUCCUUCCCCGUAUAAACCGCUAAGAUUCAAUAUUCUUGACAAUAUCGACGCGUUAGAAGGCAAAAACAACAACAAUAAGAAUCAUAACACGGGCUCGGGGAUCUCGGGACGGGUCCCGACGAUUAAAACCCGACUGUCCGGUAUAUUGAGGUGCAAAAGAAGCAAAUGAAAAUAAAAAAUAGGGGGUA